GAUGAACGCUGGCGGCGUGCCUAAUACAUGCAAGUCGAGCGAACGGACGAUAAGCUUGCUUCUCUGAUGUUAGCGGCGGACGGGUGAGUAACACGUGUAUAACCUACCUAUAAUACUGGGAUAACUUCGGGAAACCGGAUCUAAUACCGUAUAAUAUUUUGAACCGCAGGGUUCAAAAGUGAAAGACGGUCUUGGUGUCACGUAUAGAUGGAUCCGCGCUGCAUUAGCUAGUUGGUAAGGUAACGGCUUACCAAGGCAACGAUGCAUAGCCGAACUGAGAGGGUGAUCGGCCACACGGGAACUGAGCCACGGUCCAGACUACUACGGGAGGGAGCAGUAGGGAACCUUCGGCAAUGGGCGAAAGCCUGACGGAGCAACGGCGAGUGAGUGAUGAAGGUCUUCGGAUCGUAAAACUCUGUUAUUAGGGAAGAACAUAUGUGUAAGAAACUGUGCACAUCUUGACGGUACCUAAUAAGAAAGCAACGGCUAACUACGUG
rnacentral:rRNA from 1 species